AGCGAACGCUGGCGGCAGGCCUAACACAUGCAAGUCGAACGAACUCUUCGGAGUUAGUGGCGGACGGGUGAGUAACACGUGGGAACGUGCCUUUAGGUUCGGAAUAACUCAGGGAAACUUGUGCUAAUACCGAAUGUGCCCUUCGGGGGAAAGAUUUAUCGCCUUUAGAGCGGCCCGCGUCUGAUUAGCUAGUUGGUGAGGUAAAGGCUCACCAAGGCGACGAUCAGUAGCUGGUCUGAGAGGAUGAUCAGCCACAUUGGGACUGAGACACGGCCCAAACUCCUACGGGAGGCAGCAGUGGGGAAUCUUGCGCAAUGGGCGAAAGCCUGACGCAGCCAUGCCGCGUGAAUGAUGAAGGUCUUAGGAUUGUAAAAUUCUUUCACCGGGGACGAUAAUGACGGGACCCGGAGAAGAAGCCCCGGCUAACUUCG
rnacentral:rRNA from 1 species